rnacentral:rRNA from 1 species
CCUACGGGAGGCAGCAGUGGGGAAUAUUGGACAAUGGGGGGAACCCUGAUCCAGCGACGCCGCGUGAGUGAAGAAGUAUUUCGGUAUGUAAAGCUCUAUCAGCCGGGAAGAAAAUGACGGUACCUGACUAAGAAGCCCCGGCUAACUACGUGCCAGCAGCCGCGGUAAUACGUAGGGGGGAAGCGUUAACCGGAUUUACUGGGUGGAAAGGGAGCGUAGACGGGACAGCAAGUUCGAUGGGAAAGGUCGGGGCCCAACCCCGGGACUGCAGUGGAAACUGAUGAACUGGAGUACAGGAGAGGUAAGCGGAAUUCGUGGUGUAGCGGUGAAAUGCGUAGAUAUUAGGAGGAACACCAGUGGCGAAGGCGGCUUACUGGACUGUAACUGACGUUGAGGCUCGAAAGCGUGGGGAGCGAACAGGAUUAGAUACCCUGGUAGUC